rnacentral:rRNA from 1 species
UGCGAAGGGGGCUAGCGUUGCUCGGAUUGACUGGGCGUAAAGGGCGCGUAGGCGGUUCGUACAGUCAGACGUGAAAUUCCCGGGCUUAACCUGGGGGCUGCAUUUGAUACGUGUGAUCUAGAGUGAGGAAGAGGGUCGUGGAAUUCCCAGUGUAGAGGUGAAAUUCGUAGAUAUUGGGAAGAACACCGGUGGCGAAGGCGGCGACCUGGUCCUUGACUGACGCUGAGGCGCGAAAGCGUGGGGAGCAAACAGG